CAGGCCUGGCAUCUCGGAGGUUGCUCCAGACCCCAUCUACUCCUCUGUGGAUGACAGAGAAGAGCAGUGCACUCUGCCCCAGAUGGACCCUGAUCCCAAUGCUGAUGGCAUCACCUACACUGAGCUGAACCAUGAGGCACUGAACAAGCAGUGGUACCCCACCCUUGCCAUUGUUGAGCCCAGCCUCUAUGCUGCAGUCAGUGUGAGACCAGGGGUCCAUCAGUGACAGCCCUCAACUCACCAAGUGUGAGCCCAGGGAGAGACAUCUCUGGAAUAGAGGCACGAAGGUGUAUGCCCACCAAGGUCAUUCACCUAUAGAGGAUGCGCUGUAGCAUGGACUCUGCUUACAUGGAACAUUUUCUGGGACCCCUCCACCCUUCCCAGACCUGCACAAGGGAGCAGGUGGGGUAGAGGGAAGGGGAGGUGGGAAGGGGAUCUUCCUAAGCCUCUUUGUAUAUAACUUGGUAGCCUGCUUAACCUCUAGUUUUAUAAUAAACACAGGAUCACCCAAACCCAGCUUCCCUGGGGGCCUGAUACAGCCAUGCCCCUAUACUGGGUUGGGGAUUACCCCAGCAAAGUGUACUGCAAUGGGGUUUCCCUACUACAUCUUUAGUACUCCACUGACAGGCAUUCUCCCUGCAGUUAACUCUUACGUACCAUGGCCUGGGCUCGUUUCCAUGCUUCUUUCCCCACCUUGUACCCAGGCUUCCUGGCUAAUUUUUGCUUCAUCUUGGGGCCAUACAGAUUCACAACCUGGUUAUGGGCUGAUCUACCCCUUUGGGGGCCACAGGCACCUGGUAAGAAUUUGCAGUGGCAAGCAUCAGCUUCUACCUUUGCCCAUUAAUCCAGCACUGGUCAGAUAAGCCCCCACCCUGCUCACACGGGAUCCUGAGUCACCUUUCCCCAUGAGCUCCCACAUCUCUGCCCUCCUGAGCCCCAGGCAGCUCUGCCCCUGGAUCCCAGUCAGUUCUCCUCCCCCUUGAUCACAAAAGAUGCCACACUGCUGAACUCAUCAGGGCUGGUAGCUGUCCAUUGUGAAUGUGCGGUGCCCAUUCUUUUACAACAGCAUAAAAAAGACAUCACAGCCAGGACCAGAUCCAGGGGACCUGCACUGGUGCACUUGCACCCCCCUUUAAUUCCUGCUCCACCCAAAGUUUAAAACCAAUACUUGGCAGUUGCAGCAGCAUUUCUAGUCAAGCAGCAGUGAUGGAGUCAAUUAACGUCAUGGCUCACUAUAUUCCAUCUAAUUCCUUCUAAACUCUUCACCCCACAGGUGUUAACAACCCUCUCUCUGUUUUUAAUGGUCUGAAUGUUCCACUAAUCAACCUAUUCCUUCUUCAGCAAUUCUGCCGUCUGCUAGGAGCUACAUUAUCAGGAGCAGAUACUUCGCCCUGCAGCCUGUUUUUAACUCUAACUAAAAACAUUAACUUUAGACCAGGCUUUAAACUGAGCCCCCUGGGGGAUGAGGAGAGUACCACCACUGCAAGCCCACUGGGCAGUUUUUGUAAACCCAGCAGGCUAAGGCACUCAAGGGAACCCACGCCUACCCUAGCCCCAGAGCGAUCUGUAGGAAAGGCAAGGGCCCCCAGUGGGUCACUUAUGUGCCUGUACACCAAUGCCAGGAUCCUGGGGAACAAACAGAAGGAACUGGUCCUUCUGCUAAACCAGAAGAAUUACGAAGUCAUAGGGAUAACAUAAACCUGGUGGGACUCUACCUAUGACUGGGCCACAGGUAUAGAUGGCUAUACCUUGUAUAGGAGAGAU